UCUUCGGUGAUGCGUCGCUACGCGAGUAAAUUUUAGUUACCUCUCAGUUGCCUUUCUGUCGGGAACGGAAUAUCUAUGUUUCGUAGUAUGCUUUGUACUCCCGUCAUCUGGUUCCUACUUUGCUUUCCGAUCAAAAUUCUCUUGGUCAUUGGGACUGAUACACUAGACUGUUUUACUGACGAAUAUUGGCCCAUACUUAGCGUCGGAUCAAGGGUAGUUUUAAAGAGAUUUCCAAACUGACAUCCGUGCUUCUCGCAUGAAGCCUCUUCCUCCCAGCAGCAGUUUCAUCAAUGGAUCCUCUGCUUCCGCGUCUGGAAGCGAUCCUCUCUUCAGACUUCGCCCUGACGUCUGAUCUGCCCGCGCUGCUUCGUCGAUGCCUUCUGUCGCCACGAUCCUCCGAUCGGUACCUCUUGUCGAAUUUCUUGUACAGCCUGUGACCGGACACGUGCUUCGAAGAGGAUCGAUGCCCUUCCGGGGAGUCCGCGAAACCUGCCGGUGGUCGAACGAUCUCUUCCGAGACCUCGAGGUGGAGCAAUACGAUGGCACGCACGAUAGAGAAAAGAGGUAGAUAGACCGAUAGAUAGAGAGAUAGAUUGAUCUAACCUUCGAAUUUCUUUUUUCUUUCCUGUUACUCUACUGUGGCAACUUUUUUUUUGGCAAAGCUGGACAGUAAUUGAUUGUUUUAUAAUUACUUCUGUAAUUGAUUAUUGAAAGAACCGAUUAAUUAUUAUUGACCCCUCAACUACAAAAGGCGUAGGUAUAUACAUUAUGUAUUAUUAUACAUGAAAGACGCAUGUAAGUAUAUGUAUGCUCAAUGAUCGAAAAUAAUUGUAAUUAAUCGGGUUACAUUGUGUCCAACUCUGUCCUGAAAUUUUUCAAUUCUAAUUUACUAAUUACAGAAACAAUAAGAAGAAAGGAAGAAAUUUAAGAUUCAAGCAACUAUGUAACUACACUGUGCACUACAGCAGCGACAGAUAUUAGGACAAUUGCUUGGAGCAAUGAUAUAUUGGAGCAAACUAAACUAAAUAAACAAGGAUGGUGUGCUAUUUCAGGUACAUAAGCAGGUAUAUCAACUUUGUACCAGUCAACUUGUACCCUUUCCUUCCUUUCAAAGGAGGAACAAAGGAGUAAGCAAUAAAUAAUUUACCUCUCUGCCACAAUGAUGACAAUGUGGAGCGUCGAGC